rnacentral:lncRNA from 1 species
AACAAAAAAAAAUAGUCAAAGUGUGAAUUUAUUAUCUAAUAUUAGGGUUUAUUUAUCAUGAUGAAGACACAAGGUAAUUGUAAUUGGUCAUAAAGAGGCAACGAAAAGUGCAUCAUCUCGUCACAUGCAUAAUAAAUAGUGUGAAUUUGUACAACAAUUAAUAAUUUUAGUUUUUUUUAGAAGCCCAGAAGAGGGCGCACGCACCUCGAGUCACCAAUAUUCCAACUCGUUGUCAUGAAUAACUAACGUGGAGCUUGUCCAACCUGUGCACUGAACUUGUUUACUUGUGGGGGGGAAAAAUAAAGAAAAAAGAAAGAAAGAAAGCGACCGUACACUAUUCUUUGAACAUAUCUUUUACCUUUGCAUCAUUAAUUUUGAAUCAGAGAAAGAGAGAGUCGUUAUACCUGGGUGCAUGCAUCCUCGUUAUAAUCGAUUCCUGCGUGACUGGUUGUCGCAUAAUGUGAUUUAUUGUGUUGUGUGUUUGAAACAUUGAAAGCGAAGUAGGGUGUUGAGUUCCAUGCAAACCCUUGUCAAAUGAAGAGUCCCCUGCUUAUACCUCACAUUCGUUGUCUGUUCGACCUCAAAAUAUUUCUAUAUUAGAACUAUUUCAUUGUUGUUAAUUUGAUAACUAACCAGUUUAUUAUUUUUUAUUCUCCAAAUUAAGAUUAACGAUAAAAGUUACAAAAAUGAUAUCAAAAUUCUACUCCAAAAGAACGUGUUUCGGGAAUUGGAUCAUAGGUAAAGGAUGAAAGGAUCUGAAUGAAGUCUAGAUAUUAGUAGUAAAUACACGUGCCAUGCUGAGACGGCUACGAUGGAAAAGCGUUUUGUGUAGGAAAAACUUAACGCGUAAACCUAACACGAAACUCAAACCUACCACACACUUCACUGUUUGUGGCAUUCCAGCAUUAAUGGUAUAUUUUGUCGCGGUAGUAGGUACCAAGAUCCUAAAAACAAAAAUCAUUGGGUUCUUUGAUCAUGUCCUUUCCUAGUUCCUCCAGAUCCGCAUCUUUUAAAAUACUGACAUUCAUACAUGAAAAUAUAUAAUAAUAAUAAUAAUAAUAAUAAUAAUAAUAACCAUAAUAAUAGAAUUAUAUUUUUAUUUAGUGCUACCGAAUUCAACUUAUAGAAAGAUGCUCUACUUUUCAAAAAAAAAAGAAAGAUGCUCUAAGAGUAUUUCCAACAUAGAAAUUACCUAAAAGAAAAAGUAAUUUAAGUUUUUUUUUUUAAAAAAAUUAUUAUUUUAACCCAAAAAAAAGUUGCUUGAACUAUUGCAGAUGAUGCAUGAGAGUGUUAGUGUCUAAUCGAAUUGAUCUAUUAUUCUAUUGUAUUGGCCAUUUAAAGCGGAGAAGGUCUUUGAUGCAAUUAGAAUUGUGCUCUUCAUUCAUUCACUAUUUAUCACAUGUAAAUGUGCUCUUCAUUCAUUCACUAUUUAUCACAUGUAAAUGUGUAUUAUUUUAAUUAGUUGAAUCAUACCCAUCAAAGAGUGAAUUAAAAAAAGAAAAAUACUCUAAAAGCACUAAAAAACUUUCCUUUUGAGCAACAUAAAAUAAUCGACAAUUAAAGGCACAUGCUAAGCUGUAACUGAGUAAUUAAUAUAUAAGCCAGAACAGCUCUCUUCUUAAAUAUGGCAGCAAAGGUUCUCAUUCUACAAUGUAUCCAACACCUUGGUGCAUAUACAACAAUUUGGCAAAGAAAGAUGUUCAAAUUCAACUGUUUUAUUUAUUUUAAUCUCUAUGAAAUAAACCCUUAGAGGGAAUUAAUACAGGAUGAAGGAAGACAAAAAGAGCAUGAGAACCCCCAGAUUUAAGGAAGGAAAAUUCAAGCGACGAUAGACUUUAUAUAGUUAUUUAUCAAUUUGCAAAUCAUACACAUCACCAUGUUUCUAUCCUAGAUGCUUGUUAAAAUCAAACCGUACCCAAUUUAAACCACAGAACGAAAUAAAUCUUUCUUCUUUUAUUGGGUAUUGAACGAGGAUAAAAAGAUAUUUGUUUCCGAUGCAAAGAGAAAGUGCUAUAAUUAAAUAGAUUGAAAAAAAAAAAAAAAAAAAAGGACCAGCUAGUUUAGAGUUCGAUGAGAAACAUCAGGUCCUGAAAAAGGUGUCAGUCUGAUGCAAAAUUUUAAUUGAAAAAGAAAAAAAGAAGUAAAAGAUUUUGUACAUACGCAGAAACAGUUUUAUCAUAUCACAACUUAAUUCUUAUCAGUUAUCAUAUCUUUCUACUUUUUUAGAGCACCUGAAAGUCAGAUGUAAAGCUGUAACUUACAACUUGCAGAAAACACAAACGUUAUUGAUCUAUAUGUAUCUAUCUAUGCUUUUAAAUGUUUACACCUAACUAACAGGCUAACUUGUUUAUUUAUAUACAUAUUUAUAUAUUUGCACAGGCAUCCGCAUGCACACAGGUAAUUUCUUACUUUAGAUGUAGAUUCAAGGAAAAACGUUUUCCUAGAAGAGAAAUUUAUGAUUCUAAUUGUGAUAAAUUUCAGAGGUGCGAUCGAGUGAGCUAGUUUGAAGCUGAUUGAUCUAAAAAGACUUUGGAAAUUGAUAAUAUCUAAAUAUGAUCUAAGAAGAUUUUAGGAAUUGAUAUAAUAUGAUCUAAAAAGAUUUUAAUUAGGUCAUAGCUAGGUUAUAUCUAAUUAACUGGGGUUUUUUCAUAAGGUCUAACAACAUAUGUAUGUUCAAGGUCGAACAGACAACGAGGCAAAGGUUAACUCGCAAAAGACCGCUCACUUGACAAGCAUAGCAUGGAAUCCACUCACCUGUUGAUUGAUUAUUCAAAUCCUCUCAUCCAAUUUUUGAUAUACGUAUAGUUCUAUCAUAUGUGAAAACCCACCUGAAAACAAAAAAAAAAAAACGAAAAAAAUAUAUAUAGUGAAACUGAGCUCUCUAAAUCAAGCUUAAAUAAAGGUAAUUAAAACAAUUAAAGCUGGAGAUUAUCAAACUAUAAGAACGCAAGGAAAUGAAGAAUAAGAAUAUACCAAUUAGUAUUAGUUCUCUUUGGCCACAGUUAUUCGAAAACCAUGUAGCUGGUUUUGUGUGUUCUGUGCAAAGGGAACAAGGUAGAUUAUAUAGGGAUAAGAUGAAGAAAAGGCUUGAUGUGUUUGAGUAUGUGUCCUUUUUUGUAUGAAUCUGAUACAUUUGGCUUAGCUCGUGAGACGCUUUGACUAGCUG